rnacentral:lncRNA from 1 species
GAGGCUAGUUAGAUUCGUUUCCGCUGAGCCACUACGGGAAUUCCGACUAUGAGCUUUUCGAAGGCAAAUACGCCUCAGUGCAUCUGGUGUAUUGUCUGAUGUUCCUUUUAUCCCCGCUACAUGACUACCCACAUUUCAUGUCACUAAGCAGCCAUUUUAUUAUGUUCCAACUCUUUGGGUCAGGAGGGGGGACGCCUCACCUCUUGGCCAUGACACUUGAGCUCAGGGAUGGACAGCUUGAGGACAGCACCUUUACUCACAUGUCUGGUGCCUGGGCUGAGGGGCACGAAGGCUGGGACUGCUGACCCGGGGCGGGACCUCUCCCACGUGGUGGCUGGGUUCCAGGUGGGAGCACUGGAGAGUGAGGUUCCAAACCACCUCGAUAGAAGCUACAUGCCUUUUACAAGCCAGUCGCAGAAGAUCGCAGGUGGACCCUCCACCAUUCUCUCUCUGCCAGAGCAGCCCCAUGCUCAUCCAGACUUGAAGACAGACCACACCUCUCCCUGUUUGAUCUUCUCAGUUUUCUUAGUUUCCAACUAGGGUAUGAAAGCCUCCUUAUGGGGACAACUGAUUGCCCUUGACUUGGGAGAGUGAGCAGCUCCAAUUCCUUGGGACGCACUGAGUGCUUUGCGGUAAUCAUCUACUAUUCCUUAUGAUGAUCUGAAGUCUCUAUAACACUUAGUGGGCUGGAACCACACAUAUAUUUACCGCCUUCAUUUGGUUGCUAGCAUUAGGCUUAUUUUCCAGUAUUUUUCUCUCCAAUUGGACUGUCUUUUAUCUAAGCUUAUCUUCAGUGUCAAGAAGUACAGCACUUCUCAACAGCCGCCCGCCCUCCGCCCCAUAAGAGACACCUCCCCUCUAUUCAUCUUCUGCAAAUUGAUCCUUAUGGUUAAGGCCCCCAGAAUCCAUUCAUCACUGAGAUCUGUUCUUUCCCAUUUAUAUGGUCUUCCAUUUAGCUACACCAAGCUCUUUACCAUGACUAAAGCUCUUCGUCAUUUUAAUAGCUCUUUCUUAGAGCCAGCCCAGAGUGUCAGACUGUAAAUGUAUUCCCUAGAAGACCCGCAAGGUCCCAAUAGCCCCAAAGCACCCCCAUUCUCUCUGAAGACCCACAGUUGGGCAGCUCCCCCCGAGUAGAACUGGACACUGGUUUUCACUUAUCCAUCUCCUUCUGCAGAAGCCUCAGUCUUGAUUUUGGUCACCUAUGUCAUUCCUAGUGAUCCUAGCAAAGUACCUCAAACCAUCUAAUCUAAUUGGUCUUGUGAGAUAGGAAAGGAAAGCAGAGAGUUGUGAGCGAGGGGAGAGGAGUAGGAGAGAAAGGGGAUGGUACAGGGAAAGGAGGGAGGGGGAUGCUCUUUAGAGAAGGGUCACGGGAGCCCAGCACCACGCAGGGAAGGUGACUCUGCUUCCCAUCUCAGGGAGGAGUAUGCAGAGCACCCCAGAGGCGGAGUCAUGAUGGGGGAGAUGGGGUCAGGAUGGGGGAGGUGGGGUCGGGAUGGGGGAGGUGGAGUCAGGGAGAGUGGGGACUGCGCCUGCCCAGGGGUACUUCUGGGCCCCCUCCAGCCCUGCCCUGCCUCGGUGCCACUUGGGGGUACUGGCAUGUUCUCUGUGGGUACGUCGUAGGAAGUACUCCUUUUUCCAGUGCCAGGUAGGCGAUGGACGGGAUGCUUGGGGACUCUGACUGUGGUUACUGCCCCAGCUCCCUGCACAUUCAUAGGCUAAAUGGGCCACAGCUCUGGUCACUAAUGCAGGCCCAUGCCCGGGGGCUCAGACUGGGGUCACUGCCCUCUGCCAAAGGCUGUCAGGGCCCACCUCAGAGAGGAGGUAAAGUGUGCUGAUAGAGGAGAGGUAUGUCAUGGCCCAUUCACUGCAGCCAGUUUGGCUGGAGUGGGUGGUAAAGAAUGAACGUGUCCUUUCAGCAUCUCAAAGAUCACUUCCUGGAGCCGUGUUAGUGUGGGCACCCACCUAAGCACCUGUGUGGAGGGCUCAGAAACUCCACUGCAGCCAGCCGGCAAGCAUCUGCACCCUGCCCUCGGCCUCUAUCAGAGAGGUGCACUCCUGCCGCAGAAGCAGUCAUGGGCCCUUUCUCUCGGCUUGAAACGUUUGGAGCCGUGGUCCUUCUGGGUUUGAACCAGGGUGGUUCUCCCACUCAGAGGGUACAGACCAUGAGGAUGUUCCAGGCGCCUCGCCAUCCUUCCUGUGCCAGGCACUGUCCAUGCAUACUUGUACCCUGGCAGCCCAAGUGGACGCAUCGGAUGACAACCUGGUCUUUUCCUGACACAGGGAUGUCAGGUGGCCCGAGGUCAGAGGGCGAGCAAGACUCAGAGGAUUCUAAGCCAGGCAGUCUGAGCCAGAGCCCACUUCCUGUUUUGCCACCUCUCCACACACUCCCUAAGCCAGGUACCAAAGAGCAGGCCGUGGCUCCACCUCCACCGUGGGGAACUUUAGAGAAGCUGUGUGUCCAGAUGCCCUUGGCACAGCUCGGGUCUCUUCUUCCCAGAAAGCUGAGUAUCCAUUUCCAUCCCAGACUUGCAGGAGACUUAAAUACUGAGACUUCUCCCCGGGGACAAAGUUCCCACAUCUAGCCUGACUCUUCUGAGGUCCUGGGGCCUCAGAACUGCCUGCAAACAAGAGGAGGACUCAGCUCCCCCAGAAUCCUCAGUCCCCAUUCUGGGGGACUCCAGGUGGCUGCCAGGGAUGCCUCAGCUCAGCUCUGUGCUUGGCAACCUGCCCCUGGGUCCAGGCAGACUGAGAAUGGGAUUGAAAAGCCUGGAAUUUAAAUCAAAACUCUGCGUGUACAUUUUUUUUCCAGUAGGAUGGUCUUUGAUCAAAAUUUUCAAGGCGUUUGGCCCAGAAAGGAGUGCCUGGACCUUAGGGACAGGGUUGGGGAUAGGAGGGAACAGUGAUCUUUAAUGCUUGCUCCAUCAGCUGCACAGGCCAGUACCAACCAGCUCUCCUCCUGUCUAUCGCCGGAGUUAGCAGAAGCUUCUACAGCCAAGGCUCAGCCACACAGUAAAGCACUACACACAGACCUGGCAAGUCACAGCCAUCAGCAGCUAAUACAUCAUAGUUGGGGGAUAUUAAGAAAUUAUUCUUAGUUUUGUAACAUAGGAUCAUGACACUGUGGUCAUGUUUGUAAAAGUCCUUAGCCUGGAGUUCCUGUCAUGGCAUAGCAGAAACGAAUCCUAUAAGGAACCAUGAGGUGGCAGGUUCAAUCCCUGGCCUCGAUCAGUGGGUUAAGGAUCCAGUGUUGCAGUGAGCUGUGGUGUAGGUCGCAGACUCGGCUCAGAUCUGGCAUUGCUGUGGCUGUCGUGUAGGCCGGCAGCUACAGCUCUGAUUAGACCCCU